rnacentral:rRNA from 1 species
ACAUGUAGGAAUCUUCCCUAUGGCCUGGAAUAACACGAGGAAACUUGUGCUAAUACCGGAUAAGUCUUUACAGAGAAAGCUUUAUGCACCAUUGGAUGAGCCUGCACUUGAUUAGUUUGUUGGUGGGGUAAUGGCCUACCAAGACUUUGAUCAAUAGCUGAUUUGAGAGGAUGAUCAGCCACAUUGGGACUGAGACACGGCCCAAACUCCUACGGGAGGCAGCAGUGGGGAAUCUUGCACAAUGGAGGAAACUCUGAUGCAGCGAUGCCGCGUGAGUGAAGAAGGCCUUUGGGUUGUAAAGCUCUUUCGUCGGGGAAGAAAAUGACUGUACCCGAAUAAGAAGGUCCGGCUA